rnacentral:rRNA from 1 species
AUGUGCGGGAACCUGUCAUCGAUCUCUAACUUCUGGUGGGGCGAAGUAAAUGGUCAGAAGCGGGUGCAUUCGAUUGCUUGGGAUAAGAUGUGUACGAUAAAACAUGAAGGGGGACUCGGGUUUCGUGACCCAGAGGCAUUUAAUCAAACUAUGCUUGCUAGGCAGGCGUCGCGACUGAUGCAAGUUCCAACCUCUCUGUGUGCCAGGGUUCUUAAAGCAAGGUAUUACCCUGACAACUCCAUCCUAAAUGCAACAUGCCCGAGGGGCUGCUCGUACACGUACAGAAGCAUUCUGUAUGGAAGAAACCUGCUGCUAGAUGGGCUCAUAUGGAGAAUUGGUGAUGGGUCGAAGAUCAGGGUGCAUCACGAUAAUUAG